rnacentral:tRNA from 1 species
UGUGAUAUGCCAGAUAAAUGGGAUAUGUUGAUAACAUUUUUAUGUGUAUUUUCACUGUCACAU